UGAACUUUUCCUGGUUUCUUUUUAGUACUGGUGGUGUGGUGUGGUCAUCACCAGCAAAGGUGCAGAGGUUGUUGCCCUACCAGCCCUGGGCAGUGAUGUGUGGCCAGCGUGGCAUGCAGGAUGUGAGCUCUGCCAGCUCCUCCCAAAGUGGGUGUCUGUCUGGAGGAGAAAAAAAUAGAAAAGUAGAAAAAGAAAAGGAGAAGAAUGAAAAAAAGGAUCAAAGUGUUAAUUGUAAAACGUCUUACUGUGCCAGUUGGAAAUGAAAGCAGGGCGUCCGGUGAAAUAACCGAUGGGGAUGGAACUGAAGUGCAUUAUCCAGCAGCUCAUUAGAAUAAUGAGGAACCCACAAAGGACAUGGGAGACACAAACAAGCUUUGUUGCCCUGUCAUUAUUUUUAGGAGCAAUGUGAUACCACUCAGGGCUGGGUUAAUAACAGAUAAUUGCUUGUCUUUACUCUUGCUUUUUGCUCUCUCUUUUCUUCUUUUUCUUUUUUUUUUUUCUUUGUUCCUUCCUUCCCUGAAUGGUUUUAUGGGAUGUGGACUUAGUAAUGUUGUGGCAAAGUGUCAUUUCCUCUUUUAUUGGAAUGACUCAAGUCUGCACAUUGUGGUGGAGGUCAGGAUCACGUUUAUGAAGUUUGCAUUGUGGUUAAUCAGUAGGAGCAAAGAAGUUUCCUUCUCUCUUUCUCUCUCUUCAUCUGUCUGGGGGGAGGUAACAAACCCUCAGUAAAUUUGCCUGUGUUGUGUUGUUCUGACAUGAGAUUGCUCUUGAAAUGAUGUCCACUGAAUUAAACCACAAAUCCUCUCAUAUUUGAGCUGUGCUUGAGCUCUGCAAGGACCUAAGGGGAUGUAUGUAACAGCAUGGUUGAUUGGAGUGUGAAGAUGUUGGAAAAAGAACUAGAAAUACUGAGAUUUAGUGGAGACAGUCAGAAGAAAAUGUGACCAGAACACUCAAGGGGAAAUGGAGCUUCCCACAAAAUAAACACGAAUAGAUGAGUGAGAUAUUCAUUGUGUGUUGGUGGUUUUCAAGAUACUUACGUGCAGGGAAAUGGAGGCAGGGAGUUUUAUGCUCUUCAUAAAUACUCUUAAUUGUCCAGGAUCUGCAUAAGUUUAGACUGAAAAUACAAGCUUGGGUGUUUUUAUUUAUUUAUUUAUUUUCAUCCUCCAGUAUCAUGUCUCUGUAAGAAACAGUCAAAGUCCAGGUAAACAAAAAGCCUCUGGAAAUAUAGUUGUUCAAAUCUGAUCUGUUGCACUGGUAAAAUAAAUAAAUAAAUGUAGAAUGCUAUGCUAAAAGGUGUUAGUGCCUAUGAAAAGAGUAUUAGUGAAGAGACAGCCUAAUAAAAGGCAUCAAGUAGAGAAUUUUGUCAUGAAAUGGAAGUAAGCAUUAACUUCAUGGCUGUCGAUCUAUAUGGGUAAUGAAUUUAUAAGUGCCGACGUGGAACAAUAAACUGUAACCAAAGAUCAUAAAUAUUUUUUUGAGACACAUCAGUGUUAUACGUAGUGAGGGAGAAGACGUGAAGUGUUGGGUGGAGAGGAGGUAGUUUGUGUUUCUCAUUCUCUUCUAUCAAAUAACAACUAUACAAUGGCCUUUGUAUGCAGUACUGGUAAAUUUUUUCAGUGAUAGAAAACAAGCUUUAGAUUGGGAAGAUUGUGUUAGUGACUGAUUCUUAUUGAUAAGUCAGAUGUUUACAGUGUAUACAGUGCUUUUGGAUGUCUUGGAGGUAGAGGAGUGGGUACUGUCCUUAAGUUAUGCCAGGGUAUUUUCAGGUUGGAUAUUAGGAAAUGGUCGGAUAUCAGAACAGUGAUGCACUGGCCUAUGCUGUCCAGGGAGGUGGUGGUGGUGAAGUCACCAUCCCUGGAGGUGCUCAAGAAAAGGGUAGAUGUAGCAGUGAGUGACAUGAUUUAAUGGCAUGUUGGUGAGGGGUUGAUGGUUGGACUAGAUGAUCUUAGUGGUCUUUGCAACCUUAAUGAUUCUACAAAAUGUGGAAAAUAUAGAGGAUAUGAUUGGAAGCACUCACUCUUUAAUGCAAAAGUAGCUUUUAUAUUUUUUAGAGUAUCUUUCCUUGGGUGUGGUGUAACAGCUAGUGAAGAGGGAGAGAACUUAUGCAGGGAUAUACUGAAAAGGAACCAUUGCAAAAGCACGUGGCUGGAUGGGAUGAAUCUGAAAAAUGACACAGCUGUUAUUGUGUGCACUGGGUAAGUGCACAGUUGAAGGUUUUGUUUGUAAAGUAAGCUGAGCAUAGGAAUUACAGUGUAGAGCUCAUGCAGGUGGAGAUUCAGCCAACCUCUGGUCUAAAUCAUUGUCUCUUGGGAAGGAGUGUGGAAAAGUUUGUACCUGCAUCUCUGGGGAUGGAAAUGCAAACGCAGCAGGAAUCUGUUUAGAAAUCUUCAAGAGUAAGAGGUGGUCAUCUGAAACAGGUAGCAGAGAUAAUGUGUAAUGCAGUAUUCGCUAUACCUUCUGCUUUUCCACAGAAUUGUAGAUCAUCUCCAAGUGUUACUGAGAUAAUUGAGAUACAUUGAACAAGGCUGUAUCAGUAAGAUGUGUCUUUACCUUUCUCAAGGAGCUGCAGACAGCAUUGCUUGGCAGAUCUAAAAACAGAGGACACACAGUGUAAGAUUUCCACAGUUUUCAAUACAAGCAUUCAAUAUCAAUUAACCCACUGCCUGUAAAAACAACUGGAGAUGCGUUUGUCCUACCAAAUGGUUUUGUUGCUGUUGAAUCAUUGGCUUCAACAUUUGCACCUCAAAUGGGAAAAAUGUGAAUUUUAAUACCCUGUGACUUCCUCUAUAAACUGCAUGAUUUUUCACAAAAGCAGAGUUUUCAGUGAUUUUCGAAUAUCUCCAUAAAAUUUGAAGGGAAAUCUGAUUGAAGUGCCUGCUUAAUGUUUGUUGACUGGGUUUACCAAGUAUGUUCUAACAUCUCUGAGCUGUGACUGCUGAGGAGGGUGAAGAGAAGUGUAAGGUAAAGAAGAGAAGAUCAGUGACCCUCACUGAUGUUUAGACAUCAUUGCAAGUGAUGGGGUAGCUGAGGAGCAAGUUUGUGCUCAACAUUUUUUAGCAGUGGUACCAGCUAUAUAUAAAGUGACUGUGGCGUAUUGUUUUGGAGACUACUGAAAGAUUCUAAGAUCAUGCAAAGGUUUUUUGGGAUGUUGAAGCUCUCUCAUAGAUAUACAGUAAUGUGCAAGUUUUUCCUUCAAAACUACUCAGUUCCACCUGUCAGAAAGCCCGUGGUGUGGUUGGUUUGUGUAGUCACCCUGAUACAGAAGUUAGUUUCACCUGCUCUUCCACUUUUAUCAGAGUAGAGAAAAACAGUUUUCUGAAGCUGUUGAGGGAAUGCAAGAAGGUAUAGAUGCCUAUCAUAUUUUAGGAGGAUGCACCAUUCCCUUUAAUUAUGUUUUUAGUUGUGACUAAUGGAAAUAGGCACAAAUCUGGUGUUUCAUGCAGUAUCAAGCCUGUCUGCUUUGAAGGUGUUGG
ensembl:lncRNA